ACUAUUGGAUAUGAGACCAGCCCAAUAGACCUAGUAUAGGUGGUGUAGGAUGUUGGUUUGUUGUAUUUACGCUUAUUCUAGAAUUCUACUCAAGUCAUCGUGCUCCAAAGGGGGUACUGGCCUGGAUAAGUUCUUUUCUAUGCCUCAAUUAAGAGGACUUUAAUAUUCUUUCAUUUGUGCGUGUCAAUUUGGUAGAUACGAGUAAUACGUAAUCAAACAAGGGAGAAAACAAA
rnacentral:lncRNA from 1 species